GUAGGGGGCAAGCGUUAUCCGGAUUUACUGGGUGUAAAGGGAGCGUAGACGGCAGUGCAAGUCUGAAGUGAAAGCCCGGGGCUCAACCCCGGGACUGCUUUGGAAACUGUGCAGCUAGAGUGUCGGAGAGGCAAGCGGAAUUCCUAGUGUAGCGGUGAAAUGCGUAGAUAUUAGGAGGAACACCAGUGGCGAAGGCGGCUUGCUGGACGAUGACUGACGUUGAGGCUCGAAAGCGUGGGGAGCAAACAGGAUUAGAUACCCUGGUAGUCCACGCCGUAAACGAUGACUACUAGGUGUCGGGGAGCAAAGCUCUUCGGUGCCGCAGCCAACGCAAUAAGUAGUCCACCUGGGGAGUACGUUCGCAAGAAUGAAACUCAAAGGAAUUGACGGCCG
rnacentral:rRNA from 1 species